UAAGCCUAAGAUAUCAGGUUGUCAAGUUCUGUGGGGAGAUUGCUUUUAAGGAUUCAACCGUCCUCAAGAACAGGGCAUGUAUCUAGGUACAUUUUGAACCGGGGCGAGCGAAUGGUUGAUAGCCGAAAGAUAAUUAGGGUUUUUCUCGCUUCACCCGGAGACCUCUCUGAUGAAAGAGCUUCGGCAAAAAUCGUGGUUGAUGAGUUUAACGCGAUCUAUGGCGAAGCUUUUAGGUGCCAUGUUGAUUUGAUCGGCUGGGAAGAUACGGUUUCAAGAUACGGACGACCUCAGAAAAUAAUCAAUCAAGAUGUCGAACGAUGCGAAUACUUUAUCGGCAUGAU
rnacentral:misc_RNA from 1 species